UGAAUACGAGACGCUAAGGCGUCGAAGUAGUGUAUGUCAUACUUCCAAGAAAAGCUUGCACUGUCAUAGAUAAAAAACGCCUGUACCAUAACCGACACAGGUGGGUAGGUAGAGUAUACUAAGGGGCGCGAGGUAACUCUCUCUAAGGAACUCGGCAAAAUAACUCCGUAACUUCGGGAGAAGGAGUGCCUUAUUCGUAAGGUUGCAAUAACAAGAUCCAAGCAACUGUUUAUCAAAAACACAGGUCUCCGCUAAGUCGUAGGACGAUGUAUGGGGGCUGACGCCUGCCCAGUGCCAGAAGGUUAAAGAAGUUGGUUAGCAAUUACGAAGCUGAUAACUGAAGCCCUGGUGAACGGCGGCCGUAACGAUAACGGUCCUAAGGUAGCGAAAUUCCUUGUCGGGUAAGUUCCGACCCGCACGAAAGGCGUAAUGAUUUGGAUACUGUCUCGGAGAGGGGCUCGGUGAAAUAGACUUGUCUGUGAAGAUGCGGACUACCUGCACCAGGACAGAAAGACCCUAUGAAGCUUUACUGUAACUUGAAAUUGAAAUUGGACUUUAUUCGCGCAGUAUAGGUGGGAGGCGUUGAUUAUAAUCUUGUGGGAUUAUUGGAGCCAUCAGUGAGAUACCCUCUUGUAAUGUUAGAUUUCUAACUUUGAAUCAUUAUCUGGUCAAAGAACAGUUUCAGGCGGGCAGUUUGACUGGGGCGGUCGCCUCCUAAACGGUAACGGAGGCGUACAAAGGUUUCCUCUGAACGGUUAGAAAUCGUAUCUAGAGUGUAAAGGCAUAAGGAAGCUUGACUGUGAGGCCUACAAGUCGAGCAGGGACGAAAGUCGGUCUUAGUGAUCUGACGGUACUGAGUGGAAAGGCCGUCACUCAACGGAUAAAAGUUACUCUAAGGAUAACAGGCUGAUCUCCCCCAAGAGUUCACAUCGACGGGGAGGUUUGGCACCUCGAUGUCGGCUCAUCGCAUCCUGGGGCGGUAGUACGUCCCAAGGGUUGGGCUGUUCGCCCAUGAAAGCGGUACGCGAGCUGGGUUCAGAACGUCGUGAGACAGUUCGGUCCAUAUCCGGUGUAGGCGUUAGAAUAUUGAGAGGAGCCUUCUUUAGUACGAGAGGACCGAGAAGGACAUACCUCUGGUGUACCAGUUAUCGUGCCAACGGUAAACGCUGGGUAGCUAUGUAUGGAGUGGAUAACCGCUGAAAGCAUCUAAGUGGGAAGCCCACCUCAAGAUAAG
rnacentral:rRNA from 1 species